GCUUGCUGUUUCGCUGACGAGUGGCGGACGGGUGAGUAAUGUCUGGGAAACUGCCUGAUGGAGGGGGAUAACUACUGGAAACGGUAGCUAAUACCGCAUAACGUCGCAAGACCAAAGAGGGGGACCUUCGGGCCUCUUGCCAUCGGAUGUGCCCAGAUGGGAUUAGCUAGUAGGUGGGGUAACGGCUCACCUAGGCGACGAUCCCUAGCUGGUCUGAGAGGAUGACCAGCCACACUGGAACUGAGACACGGUCCAGACUCCUACGGGAGGCAGCAGUGGGGAAUAUUGCACAAUGGGCGCAAGCCUGAUGCAGCCAUGCCGCGUGUAUGAAGAAGGCCUUCGGGUUGUAAAGUACUUUCAGCGGGGAGGAAGGGAGUAAAGUUAAUACCUUUACUCAUUGACGUUACCCGCAGAAGAAGCACCGGCUAACUCCGUGCCAGCAGCCGCGGUAAUACGGAGGGUGCAAGCGUUAAUCGGAAUUACUGGGCGUAAAGCGCACGCAGGCGGUUUGUUAAGUCAGAUGUGAAAUCCCCGGGCUCAACCUGGGAACUGCAUCUGAUACUGGCAAGCUUGAGUCUCGUAGAGGGGGGUAGAAUUCCAGGUGUAGCGGUGAAAUGCGUAGAGAUCUGGAGGAAUACCGGUGGCGAAGGCGGCCCCCUGGACGAAGACUGACGCUCAGGUGCGAAAGCGUGAGGAGCAAACAGGAU
rnacentral:rRNA from 1 species